rnacentral:misc_RNA from 1 species
CUGCGAGUUCGCGGGAGAGUAAGUUAUUGCCAGGGUUUUUAUUUUAUACUUUAAACAUUGAUUUUAUUUUUUAUGUUUUUAGAUGUUCAUGUUUUUGAAUGUUUUAUUUAAAUAAUAUAAAAAAUAAAAUAUAUAUUGACAUGGAUUAAACAAAGAUAUAUAUUAUUCUAUGUUGCAUAAACAAAUUGGCAAAAUAGAGAUGGAAGAUAAAAAUAUGGUC